UUCAAUAACUCCAUAAGUGAUUAAAACUCUCUAAUACAUUAUAAAGAGUAAAAUGAUAUUAUAUUUUUACAUUCAAAAAAGAAAAAAUAUGGCUGAAAUUCUCAAGUUUGUUUAUGCAAUGAUUCUAUUUCUUUCCUUAUUUAUUGACGCAGCGAAAUACAUAUAUCGUAAGCGUACGUAAGCCACUUUUUAUCCUUUUCAAAUUUUCUUAUUUACUUUCUACACAAUAUUUUUAUCUUGUUUUAGUAACAUUAUUUUAUUUUCUAUUUGUUUAUGUUCUACUUCUUUCUUUAUUUAUGGUCGCAGCGUCAUUUUUCUGUAAGCUACUUUUUCAUCCUUUUCGAAUUUUCUUAUUUAUACUUUGUACACAAUCUUUUAUCUCAUUUUAAUUACAUUAUUUUAUUAUUAUUUUUCAUUAUAUAGCACGUUUACAUGAAUGUGAACAAGACGGUGAUUGUCCAGAAAUUGUUUCAUAUCCUUUGGUUUUGAGGUGUAUUGGUUACAAUUGUGUAGUUGUUAACAGCCAAGAAUAAUUAUACACAAAUGCCAUGAAGGGGAAGAAUGAGCUCUUUAUUUUAUUUUAAGUAAAAAAAAAGCUCUUUAUUUUAUUUAUUUUUUUACGAUUAAGAAUGAGCUCUUUAACUAGCUAAAUAUUUGUGCAAGAUAUUUUAUUCUAGAAUAUUUUAUUAGUUGUCACUUUGUUAUUAGUUAUUGUGAUGGAACCGAA
rnacentral:lncRNA from 1 species